rnacentral:rRNA from 1 species
CUAUUUCUUCGGACUACUUACAAGGUGCUGCAUGGUUGUUGUCAGCUCGUGCCGUGAGGUGUCAGGUUAAGUCCUAUAACGAGCGCUACCCCUGUUGUUAGUUGCCAUCGAGUCAUGUCGGGAACUCUAACUAGACUGCCGGUGCAAACCGCGAGGAAGGUGGGGAUGACGUCAAAUCAUCACGGCCCUUACGUCCUGGGCUACACACGUGCUACAAUGGCCGUACAGAGAGCAGCCACUACGCGAGUAGGCGCGAAUCUUCAAAGCCGGUCUCAGUUCGGAUCGGAGUCUGCUACUCGACUCCGUGAAGCUGGAAUCGCUAGUAAUCGGAUAUCAGCCAUGAUCCGGUGAAUACGUUCCCGGGCCUUGUACACACCGCCCGUCAAGCCAUGGAAGUUGGAAGUGCCUGAAGUCCGUUACCGCAAGGACCGGCCUAGGGUAAAGUCGAUAACUAGGGCUAAGUCGUAACAAGUAGCC